rnacentral:lncRNA from 1 species
CGAGCGUACUUCAUCUUUCGAGCUCCUGCUUCUUUUGAUUGAACCUACCCGGACCGAACACACUCCGUCUUUGAAGCCUUUGUUCCCUUUGUUGCGUACUAAGGCACGUAGGCUUUUUUCAGCCUUUGAUGGGACAAUCAUCUGACUCUUUCUUCGGCGAAAGAACGCACUUUCUUUCUACAGGACGAGGACUCGGUGGCUCUCCUAUUCCUAUAUCAUUCAGACUUGGAUGACCUCUCUUUCUCAGACUAGCUUGAAGACCUAGGCUUUGACGGUGGAAGCCUAUUCAAAGAAAGCCCGACUUGCCAACUAAUUAAUAAUGCAAAUGCCAAAUAGUCCCUCGCCCUUUAUGCGCCUUUAUAUGCUUAAAGCA